AACGAACGCUGGCGGCAGGCUUAACACAUGCAAGUCGAGCGAAGACUUCGGUCUUAGCGGCGGACGGGUGAGUAACGCGUGGAUAACCUGCCUCAUACAGGGGGAUAACAGUUAGAAAUGACUGCUAAUACCGCAUAAGCGCACAGAAUCGCAUGAUUCAGUGUGAAAAACUCCGGUGGUAUGAGAUGGAUCCGCGUCUGAUUAGCUAGUUGGAGGGGUAACGGCCCACCAAGGCAACGAUCAGUAGCCGGCCUGAGAGGGCGACCGGCCACAUUGGGACUGAGACACGGCCCAAACUCCUACGGGAGGCAGCAGUGGGGAAUAUUGCACAAUGGGGGAAACCCUGAUGCAGCGACGCCGCGUGAGCGAAGAAGUAUUUCGGUAUGUAAAGCUCUAUCAGCAGGGAAGAAAAUGACGGUACCUGACUAAGAAGCCCCGGCUAACUACGUGCCAGCCGCCGCGGUAAAAC
rnacentral:rRNA from 1 species